GUAGGUGAACCUGCGGAAGGAUCAUUAUAGAAUAAACUUGGUUGGGUUGUUUGCUGGCUCUUCGGAGCAUGUGCACGCCUACUCCAAUUUUUUUAAACCCCCCAUGUGCACCUUGUGUAGGCCUUGGAUAACUCUCGAGGACAAUUACCUCGGCCAGAGAAUUGCUGUGCGUAAAGUCGGCUCUUCUUGCGUCCUGGGCCUAUGU
rnacentral:misc_RNA from 1 species